AUUGUUGAAUAAUCUCUCAACCAUGUGAAAAGGUGCAGCCACAAUUUUGUGUUCAAAUUGGUAGGUCACCAACCCCAUCAACCAUGUGAAAAGGUGCUAGCCGACUUAUGUGUUCAAAUUGGUAAGUCACCAACCUCAUCAACCAUGUGAAAAGGUGCUGGCCGACUUAUGUGUUCAAAUUGGUAGGUCACCAACCCCACCAACCAUGUUUCUUUCUUUGCCUAUAUAAAGGCCAUUGGGGAGAGCAAGCUAAAUGGAACACACACCAACACAAAAACAAUUCUUUUGUGUGUUAUAUCCGAGAGAGAAUUUUGAGAGUUACUCACAAAUUGGUGAGUGGUAGUUAGUGUCCAAAAAUUAGAGUGUAUAUUAUAUAAGAGUGUUUGUGAGGUUUCUUUGGGUACAAUAUUAGUCCCAAAGGGUGUUCUUGUAUCGUCUCUAUUUUUGGUGUUUCUCAAGUUGGUCACUUGAGAUUUUGGUGUACCGUUAUUUUUAUAGUGGAUAUUUCUCGGAAUUUGGCCCGUGAUUUUUCCCUCUAAAUUUGGGAGGGUUUUCCACGUAAAUUUUGGUGUUCCGAUUGCUUGUGUUAUUUUUCAUAUUGUUCAACGACCGAGUAAAAUGAGAAUUAAUAUUUUAUUCCCAACAAGAAUUAGCAUAAAUAGGGUCAAUAAACCAAACAAAUUUACAUUAUUAUGGAGGUUUUAUUACUCCAUGAUAGAUAUCUUCGGAAACGGUUUAGAAGCUUCAGAGUUUCUGCAUGCCAACUCAUUGUAUUCCUUUUUCAUUUGACACUUUUUUGAAGAUGCGGAUCUAUGAUUUAAUUUCAUCCAAUUAUAGUCACA
rnacentral:lncRNA from 1 species